UUUUGUUUACAAUCAAUCUCAGCCUCUAGUGUGAAGAUCUCAGGUAAUUGGUCUUAAAUAUUUUGUUAGUGGGUGACAGAAACAUUCCCUUUGUGUGAUAUUUAAUGCGCAUCUCGUCAGUAAAGCUGGUUGUGUAAUCAGCUGUAAAUCUCAAUCACCGUAUGACAUAUGAGAAUGAUCAAUGUAUGACAUCAAAGUACCCCGCGAGCGAUCCGAAUGCAUUGGAUCCGUAUGCUCUCUUAUUGCUCUCUCUCUCGCGGUACUUUGAUGUCCUACAGUGAUCAUUCUGUGCAGCUACUUCAAGUCGAACACUAAUGCUGCUCCUUGUGAAAGCUGCAGGUGAUGGAGAUUUACCGCUGAUUACACAACUGGCUUUACUGACAAGAUAAAUUAAAUAUCGCGUGUGAUUUAUCGUGCAGCCCAACUGCCUAAAAUAUAAAGUAUAGGGCUUGGGCGCCGUGACGUUAUUACUUGGCGUGGCCACCACGUUGACUGCCUCCUUUACUGCCACUCGGACUACUGCGCAGUGUUUAGACAUACUCCCUCCCAUCCGUGUGUCUUAAUUUGAUGAAUUAAAAAUUUAACCAUUUUCAACCGUUGCUGUAUUGUGGGGUGUAAUAGCGCAACACAUAAUCGCCAUGGGGAAAAUAAAAUGAGAAUGGAUUAACUUUACACCGCUUUCCUGCUUGGAGGCGCGACUACGGAGACCAUAACAUCUGAAUAUUAAUUUAUAUAGCUUAAGUCAACAUUGAAAAUAAGGAAAAUUUCUUGGUUUACUCAUCCAAAAUACGGAAAAUUUCAACAUUCAUCUUUUUGUUGCUAUCCCUCUGCUGACAGCAAAAAUUUGUACUAUAAAACUGCUGCAUUAACUAACGUUAAGCGAUUUGUGCUCUCACAACAACCACGCUAUCUUAAAAAGCCCAACAUCACGCUAAGGUUGCUUUCAAGUAAUCAAAACGAUGCUUUGAAAACAUCUGUUUCGCUGGAAGGACAAGGAGUAGCGACAGGACAACAACACAGAGACUUGACAGGUCUGAUGGAGGGGCUAACGGGAUAUUUUACAGGAAAAUACUAAAACGGGAAGACAGCGGGAAAACAGCUCAAAUAUGUGAGAACCCCGGAAAAACGGGAGGGUGGACAGCUACUAACUACACUUUUGAAACACAUUGUUAAAAGUCCAUGUGUGAAUGGUUGUUUGCACUAACGGUUACUAAACUAGCAGCUAGGUAACGUUAGAGCACAGCUUACUGGAUUACUGUAUACUGUUUUGCCGCUGUUCUGUUUCUAUGAUUUGCAACUCCUGAACCCAUCCAUUUGUGAACUGUACAUGAGACUUGACUUGUAGCUUCUGAACUAUUCUGAAGUGUAAGCGCUCACAAAACAAACAAGGUAGCCGAAGAUAUCUGUAAUGCAAACCUGCGGCAACAAGUCUCCGUCGGUACUCCACUAUUUGUUGGGAAUUUCAAGUGCAUCCAAACCAUUAAUAGUGCAGAUUUUGUCCACAUACCGGUCCCUGGCAUCCCUAUUUAGUGUAUCCCUAUAAAUCCUACAACCUUUUUGCGAUUUUAAAAUAUUUUUUUCUUUCUCCCAACUCUGCUCUUCUCUUUCAACUUGCUGUAUGUUUACAUUUGCGAAGCUGGAGAUCAUCCGGGAUUUGUCUGCUGACGCUGGUUAUCCAUCUUCACACACCUGCCACAGAAGCCACGAGUCACAUUGGAGUGACGUCAACUCCCCCUUGAACUGAUUGGCUAGAGGCGCCGCUGUCAAUCUAGAACUUGCUUGAUUUACAUGAAACUCAAACUGCAACUUUUAGAAACGCAAGCGCAGAACGUGGAAACAAAAGCAAAGGGGAAAAGACCACAA
rnacentral:lncRNA from 1 species